GAUGAACGCUGGCGGCGUGCCUAAUACAUGCAAGUCGAGCGAACAGACGAGGAGCUUGCUCCUCUGACGUUAGCGGCGGACGGGUGAGUAACACGUGGAUAACCUACCUAUAAGACUGGGAUAACUUCGGGAAACCGGAGCUAAUACCGGAUAAUAUAUUGAACCGCAUGGUUCAAUAGUGAAAGACGGUUUUGCUGUCACUUAUAGAUGGAUCCGCGCCGCAUUAGCUAGUUGGUAAGGUAACGGCUUACCAAGGCAACGAUGCGUAGCCGACCUGAGAGGGUGAUCGGCCACACUGUCAGUGAGACUCGGUCCCGGCUCCUACGGGAGGCAGCAGUAGGGAAUCUUCCGCAGUGGGCGAAAGCCUGACGGAGCAACGCCGCGUGCGUGAUGAAGGUCUUCGGAUCGUAAAACUCUGUUAUUCGGGAAGAACACAUGUGUAAGUAACUAUGCACGUCUUGACGGUACCUAAUCAGAAAGCCGCGGCUAACUACGUG
rnacentral:rRNA from 1 species